rnacentral:sRNA from 1 species
ACUGCUAAAUCAAUUUAUGUCUUACAAACUUGCCGAUGUAUCAUGUAUGUUCAUUAGGGGUGUCAAAAUGAGCCAGCUCGCUCAGCUCAGCUCAUGAUGAACUUAAAUCUUUUAUGAGCCAGCUCAGCUCAACUCAUUUAUUAUAUGAGCUUCAAAAUACAAACUCGGACUCAGAUCAUCUAGAUCACGAGCUAAAUGAGGUAGUUCGCGAGCUAAUGCAAAUAAAUGAAAAAAUUU